rnacentral:rRNA from 1 species
CAGCAGCCGCGGGAAUACGAAGGGUGCAAGCGUUACUCGGAAUUACUGGGCGUAAAGCGUGCGUAGGUGGUGGUUUAAGUCCGUUGUGAAAGCCCUGGGCUCAACCUGGGAAUUGCAGUGGAUACUGGGUCACUAGAGUGUGGUAGAGGAUAGUGGAAUUUCCGGUGUAGCAGUGAAAUGCGUAGAGAUCGGGAGGAACAUCAGUGGCGAAGGCGGCCAUCUGGGACAACACUGACGCUGAGGCACAAAAGCGUGGGGAGCAAACAGGAUUAGAUACCCGCGUAGUCCCUGUCUCUUAUAC